rnacentral:rRNA from 1 species
GACGAACGCUGGCGGCGUGCUUAACACAUGCAAGUCGAACGGAAAGGCCCUGCUUUUGUGGGGUGCUCGAGUGGCGAACGGGUGAGUAACACGUGAGUAACCUGCCCUUGACUUUGGGAUAACUUCAGGAAACUGGGGCUAAUACCGGAUAGGAGCUCCUGCUGCAUGGUGGGGGUUGGAAAGUUUCGGCGGUUGGGGAUGGACUCGCGGCUUAUCAGCUUGUUGGUGGGGUAGUGGCUUACCAAGGCUUUGACGGGUAGCCGGCCUGAGAGGGUGACCGGCCACAUUGGGACUGAGAUACGGCCCAGACUCCUACGGGAGGCAGCAGUGGGGAAUAUUGCACAAUGGGCGGAAGCCUGAUGCAGCAACGCCGCGUGCGGGAUGACGGCCUUCGGGUUGUAAACCGCUUUCGCCUGUGACGAAGCGUGAGUGACGGUAAUGGGUAAAGAAGCACCGGCUAACUACGUGCCAGCAGCCGCGGUGAUACGUAGGGUGCGAGCGUUGUCCGGAUUUAUUGGGCGUAAAGGGCUCGUAGGUGGUUGAUCGCGUCGGAAGUGUAAUCUUGGGGCUUAACCCUGAGCGUGCUUUCGAUACGGGUUGACUUGAGGAAGGUAGGGGAGAAUGGAAUUCCUGGUGGAGCGGUGGAAUGCGCAGAUAUCAGGAGGAACACCAGUGGCGAAGGCGGUUCUCUGGGCCUUUCCUGACGCUGAGGAGCGAAAGCGUGGGGAGCGAACAGGCUUAGAUACCCUGGUAGUCCACGCUGUAAACGGUGGGUACUAGGUGUGGGGUCCAUUCCACGGGUCCCGUGCCGUAGCUAACGCUUUAAGUACCCCGCCUGGGGAGUACGGCCGCAAGGCUAAAACUCAAAGGAAUUGACGGGGCCCCGCACAAGCGGCGGAGCAUGCGGAUUAAUUCGAUGCAACGCGUAGAACCUUACCUGGGUUUGACAUGGAUCGGGAGCGCUCAGAGAUGGGUGUGCCUCUUUUGGGGUCGGUUCACAGGUGGUGCAUGGCUGUCGUCAGCUCGUGUCGUGAGAUGUUGGGUUAAGUCCCGCAACGAGCGCAACCCUUGUUCACUGUUGCCAGCACGUUAUGGUGGGGACUCAGUGGAGACCGCCGGGGUCAACUCGGAGGAAGGUGGGGACGACGUCAAGUCAUCAUGCCCCUUAUGUCCAGGGCUUCACGCAUGCUACAAUGGCUGGUACAGAGAGUGGCGAGCCUGUGAGGGUGAGCGAAUCUCGGAAAGCCGGUCUCAGUUCGGAUUGGGGUCUGCAACUCGACCUCAUGAAGUCGGAGUCGCUAGUAAUCGCAGAUCAGCAACGCUGCGGUGAAUACGUUCCCGGG